AUUGAACGCUGGCGGCAGGCCUAACACAUGCAAGUCGAGCGGAUGAAGGGAGCUUGCUCCUGGAUUCAGCGGCGGACGGGUGAGUAAUGCCUAGGAAUCUGCCUGGUAGUGGGGGAUAACGUCCGGAAACGGGCGCUAAUACCGCAUACGUCAUGAGGGAGAAAGUGGGGGAUCUUCGGACCUCACGCUAUCAGAUGAGCCUAGGUCGGAUUAGCUAGUUGGUGGGGUAAAGGCCUACCAAGGCGACGAUCCGUAACUGGUCUGAGAGGAUGAUCAGUCACACUGGAACUGAGACACGGUCCAGACUCCUACGGGAGGCAGCAGUGGGGAAUAUUGGACAAUGGGCGAAAGCCUGAUCCAGCCAUGCCGCGUGUGUGAAGAAGGUCUUCGGAUUGUAAAGCACUUUUAGUUGGGAGGAAGGGCAGUAAGUUAAUACCUUGCUGUUUUGACGGUACCAACAGAAUAAGCACCGGCUAACUUCGUG
rnacentral:rRNA from 1 species